CAGUCGCCGCGGUAAUACGUAGGGUGCAAGCGUUGUCCGGAAUUAUUGGGCGUAAAGGGCUCGCAGGCGGUUUCUUAAGUCUGAUGUGAAAGCCCCUGGCUCAACCGGGGAGGGUCAUUGGAAACUGGGAAACUUGAGUGCAGAAGAGGAGAUUGGAAUUCCACGUGUAGCGGUGAAAUGCGUAGAGAUGUGGAGGAACACCAGUGGCGAAGGCGACUCUCUGGUCUGUAACUGACGCUGAGGAGCGAAAGCGUGGGGAGCGAACAGGAUUAGAUACCCCUGUAGUCCCUGUCUCUUAUAC
rnacentral:rRNA from 1 species